CUGACCAACUCCCGAAGUUUGUCAGGUCAGCUUGAAGGUGAUAUGAAAGCUGGACAUGGCCAUGGCUCCGCUGCUGUUCCACUGAGGCGCAACCGUUUGUAUAGCUGUCCAGGCUAGUAGUCCUGAUGUGGGCUGUGCGUCAAACUGUGCCGUCGCAAGUCACAGUUGCGCCGAAACACCUUUCCGCAGCGGCCACAGCUGUAGGGCUUGAUGUCUGUAUGGGUGAGAAGGCUGGAUCAUUAUGGCUACAAAACAAGAAACUGACCACAGAUAAGCAUCUUGACUUUGAAGAGAGCUCCCCUCCAACUGCCAGGGGCCUGAGAAAGAUGAGCUGCUCUUAUCAGCUCCCUCAGUGCGCAGCCUUCACCUCUGCCUUAUACAGACUGGU